rnacentral:rRNA from 1 species
GUGGCGACCGGCGCACGGGUGCGUAACGCGUAUGCAACCUACCUUGUACAGAGGGAUAGCCCGAAGAAAUUCGGAUUAAUACCUCAUAGUAAUAUAAUACCUCCUGGUAUAAUAUUUAAAACUCCGGUGGUACAAGAUGGGCAUGCGUCCUAUUAGCUAGAUGGUAAGGUAACGGCUUACCAUGGCGACGAUAGGUAGGGGGCCUGAGAGGGUGACCCCCCACACUGGUACUGAGACACGGACCAGACUCC